GGGCUUGUAGCUCAGUGGUAGAGUAUGGGAUUGCAGUCAGCUGUGGUCUUCAUCCUAGUGUCGUUGGUUCGAUUCCGACCAGGCCCU